rnacentral:tRNA from 1 species
GGGAGUGUAGCUCAUUAGAGCACUUGUCUAGUAUGCUAGAGGCCUUGGGUUCUAUCCCUAGCAUUGCCC